UUUUCUCUUUUAGAUAUGUCAUUGGCUGAAUCAAAAGCCUUUGCUGAUGUUUCUUUUGUGAGUAGAAUGGAUGAAACUGAGUGAGAGAUAAUAAUAAGAGCUAAGAGGUAAUGAACAUGUACUAUGUGCUUUACAUAAAAUAAUACAUUCAGUCCUCACAAUGAAUUAGCACUAGCUAGCUUCAUCUGACAAAAGACAAAAUCACAAUUCAGAGAGAAUAAAGUAUUCAUUUCAGAUCAGGUAUUGGCUUCAUAGAUCUGCCUUGAUUCUUCAUAACUGCUGUUCCCUCUGCUGGGAAGUUUCUUCCCCCUAUUAACCACAUGCCUUUCCUCCUCACCUUCCAGGUCUCUCUUCGAAUGUCACCUUCUCAGGUAGGAUUUCUUGAGUGCUCUAUUUAAAAUUAUAAAUAGAUGCCUCACGCUGGCAUUUCCUGCUUUGCUUUCUUCGAUAGCACUUCCUGCCAUCUGAAAUGCUGCUGUUUUACUUUGAUUGCCUCUCUCCUCUGAAAGACUGGAAGUUCUUCGAGGGCAGUGAUUUUCUUGCAAGGCUAAAUCCUCAGUACCUGAAACAUGCUUCACACUUGCAAUCAAAGCAUAUGGACUAUAUUUUAAUUCUACAGACAUUGCGUUAGGCAGAACAGCUACCAACACCCAAUCCCUGAAAUUUGUGAUUAUGUUUUGAUACAUGGCAAAAGGAACUAUGCAGAUGUAAUUAAGGUUAAGAACUUUAAAAUAGGAAGAUUAAAUCCAAGGAGUUCUUCAAAGUAAAGAACUACUACAUGCAGAAGAUUGGGAAGAAAUAACAGAGAGUGCUUGAAGAAUAGAUGUGGCUAGGACAAUAUCUCUGAAUCUCUGAAUGGCCCAUGGUGGUGACCCCCAGCCAGAGUGAACUGUGCAGCAGCAAUGGUGCCCAGUGGGCAGCAACAGUGGAACAGAAGGUGAGGAAGGGGCCAGAAGGAAUCCUUUAGGAAAUUAAGAAAAGGAUAAAAAUAUGAUAAAAAUGUGGUGUCCAGGCGAGAAACGGAAUAACCUCAUCCCUGUUCUGACUAACAAUUUGGUAAUAUUUUGACAGUUUUGAACAAGAACUUCCUUCUCCUUUUCUUUUGGAGUACACCAUAGUGAAAGACCUAUGGUAAAAAACAAGGUACAACUGGAAUACUGCUUUUUGUUUUUCUAUUUUCAAUAGUAUCUCCUGUUUAUAAUGGAUUGUUUUAAUCUCAGGGAAGAACAUCUGAGGAGAUCACCGGGUCUCUAAAUACCAGUUCUUGUCUCUGCACACCUUUUUUAGGGGGGACUGAUGCCUGGUUAUAUCUGCGGUACACCAGUUCCUAAAGCAAUACCUAAGAAAGUCAAUGUUUCCUAGAUAAACUUGACUUUCAUCAAAUGAUAUUUAGAAUCAGUUUUAAACUUGUAGAGUAUUGCAAUCAAUUAUGAUCAUAUUUUGCAGCAUAUAUCAUGAAGUCCAAAUCAUUUUAGCUUAAAGAAAACAGACGUCUAUUAUUUUUUCACUUAGAGUAAGUCAGGAAGUGUGUAGUCUUAUGUGUUGGCUUUCCAGUGUCAUCAGGGGCCCAGAUUCCUGUCUUUCUGCUCUGCCAUCUCCAAUGUGUGGUUUCUAACCUCAUGAUCCAAAGUGGGUUCUUUUGCUCCAGCCCGCGUAUCAAUGUACCAGGCCAGUAGAAUGAAGAAACUAAGGAGAGCAAAAGGAGGCUCCUUCCUAACUGAGUCAACUUUCUUUAAGCAUUUGUCCUGAAGGUCUCACACAAUAUUUUUGCAUACGUCUCACAGGUCAAAACUUAGUUAUGUGUCCACACAAAAUUUCAGAAGAGGCUGGAAGGUGUUGUCUUUUAGCUGAAUGCAUUAUCAUCCUGGAAUUCAAAUCUGGGUUCUAAUAGUAAGCGAGAAAGAGAGCGUGGUUAUUAAGUGGUGUCAUUUGGCACAGCCUGUCAACAGAGGACAUGUUAAUUGGCAUUCAUACUGAUGUUUUAAUAAAGCAUGUAGUGUGCUUAUGAGGACCAAGAUUGACCAUACUUUGGUCAUCAUCAAUCAUGGACUGAAAGGCUUUUAAACAUGAGGUAUGUACCGCCUAGCAUUCAGUAACAACCCACUUAGUCAUUCCUACCUUAAUUUUAGGUGCAUGAUACCAAAAUGUUAACAUAUUUGAGAAACAGUCCAAGCUAAUUUAAUUUACGUAAGUACAUUUUUAGAUAAGACAAUGAUAAAUUUGAAAAUCAGUUUGGUUUAAUGAUUGGUUAGUUAAAAAUAUAUCAAAUAAAUAACUUUUUCUACCUUAGCAUUUUUAAAAUUCUGGACCUAAAAUUAUUACAUUCUAUUUAGGGCAAGGAUUAGCAAAAUACAGCUUACAGGCCAAGUUUGUCUUGACUUCCUUUUUUGUAAAUAAAGUUUUUUUGAAACACAGUUACUCUCAUAUGGUUACAUAUUGUCAGUGGCUGCUUUCACUCUAUAUCGGCAGAACCGAGUAAUUGUAUUAGAUACCCCCACCACUAAACCCAAUGUGUUUACUAUCUGGAUUCAUACAGACAAUGUUUGCUGACCCCUGGCAUAGGCAAAGCAAAAUACAUGACACAAUGAAUUUCCCUCAUACUUAGAAGUUAGGGCCCACAGAACUCACCUGAAAAGUUGCUUAAUAGUUACUUAAUUAUAUAGCAGAUUAAUCAGUUUUUAACUUGAUUCUGACGUUCCUAAAGAAUGGCAAAUUCCUUCCUAACACAAACUAAACCUUUACCUCCGUGGUUCUCAACUGGGGUCAAUUGUGUCUGCCAGAGACAUCUGGUAAUAUGUAGAGACCUUUUUAGUUGUCACAAGUUGGGGUUGGGAGGUGGCUGCCACUGGCAUUUGAUAGGCAGAGGCCAGGGGUGCUGCCAAACGUCCUACAAUGCACAGGACCGCCACUCAACACAAGGAACUAUCUGGCACAAAAGUCACUAGUGCUAAGACUGAGAAACUCCAUGGUAAGUGAGAACUCCCUAGGACCGAAUAGGUAGUUGUCAAUAACAAAAAGGAGGAAUUACUUUCCUUAAAGGUAAAAAUAAUUGUGGCAUUCGGUAAAAAUAAUUGUGGCAUUCUUUCUUGGUGGUGGAGGUUUUGCUGUACUCCUUCCUUGUUUUUAUUCUCCGAAUGAAAACACCAUUUUUAUCUGAAUUAGUAGCUCAAAGUUUUCCAUUAAUCACCUCAAACGGACUGACACAGUGUUUCACACACAAUGUCACGCAUGCUGUAUGCUAACUCCUGAGUUUUGUUCUGAGGGAGAAAAAUGAAUUCCAUGGCCAAAAGUACUAGAGGAAGAACACUCAUCAUAUCAUCAUCUGGGAGGUUCACUGUUUACCUCCAGGAUAUUAAUGGCACUCAGAAGACUGGUGGUGAAGAAACCUAGGAACUGUAGAAAUGUAAAACCUGAUGAGGCUGCUAUUUGUAGACUAGGUCCAGGGAAGAUGUACUAGGUCAGAGGAGAAGAUAUCAUGGCAGAAUCUUCUAAACAGUUUUUCAUGGAUGACUUAUUCAUACAUGGUCCUCAGACAUGGUCCUCAGAGUGAAAAAUAAAAGAAUUCCUAAGUAAAUGAAUUUGGAGAUUACUACCUUUUACAGAGUUUAACAAGUUCAAUUAUAGCAAAGGCUUUUAACCCUCUUUUUCUGUGUGUGAUAAAUCCCAUUGGCAGUCGCAGAUCUCUUCUCAAAUUAAUGUGAUCAAAUGCAUAAAGCAAAAUGUAUAGGGUAUCAAAUAAAUUGCAUUGAAGUGUAAUUAACAAAACAAAAAUAAACUGGUGAUAUAUGAAUGUAAGCAUCUCUUUAUUAUCACAUUAAAUAAUAAG
rnacentral:lncRNA from 10 species